rnacentral:rRNA from 1 species
GAUGAACGCUGGCGGCGUGCCUAAUACAUGCAAGUCGAGCGAACGGACGAGAAGCUUGCUUCUCUGAUGUUAGCGGCGGACGGGUGAGUAACACGUGGAUAACCUACCUAUAAGACUGGGAUAACUUCGGGAAACCGGAGCUAAUACCGGAUAAUAUUUUGAACCGCAUGGUUCAAAAGUGAAAGACGGUCUUGCUGUCACUUAUAGAUGGAUCCGCGCUGCAUUAGCUAGUUGGUAAGGUAACGGCUUACCAAGGCAACGAUGCAUAGCCGACCUGAGAGGGUGAUCGGCCACACAGGAACUGAGACACGGUCCAGACUCCUACGGGAGGCAGCAGUAGGGAAUCUUCCGCAAUGGGCGAAAGCCUGACGGAGCAACGCCGCGUGAGUGAUGAAGGUCUUCGGAUCGUAAAACUCUGUUAUUAGGGAAGAACAUAUGUGUAAGUAACUGUGCACAUCUUGACGGUACCUAAUCAGAAAGCCACGGCUAACUACGUG